UACGAAGGGGGCUAGCGGUGUUCGGAAUCACUGGGCGUAAAGCGCACGUAGGCGGACGUUUAAGUCAGGGGUGAAAUCCCAGGGCUCAACCCUGGAACUGACCUUGAUACUGGACGUCUCGAGUCCGGGAGAGGUGAGUGGAACUCCGAGUGUAGAGGUGAAAUUCGUAGAUAUUCGGAAGAACACCAGUGGCGAAGGCGGCUCACUGGCCCGGUACUGACGCUGAGGUGCGAAAGCGUGUGGAGCAAACAGG
rnacentral:rRNA from 1 species